GUGAGGAAUAUUGGUCAAUGGGCGCAAGCCUGAUCCAGCCAUGCCGCGUGCAGGAAGACGCAUCUAUGGUGUGUAAACUGCUUUUGUACGGGAAGAAACACUCCCUCGUGAGGGAGCUUGACGGUACCGUAAGAAUAAGGAUCGGCUAACUCCGUGCCAGCAGCCGCGGUAAUACGGAGGAUCCAAGCGUUAUCCGGAAUCAUUGGGUUUAAAGGGUCCGUAGGCGGUUUAAUAAGUCAGUGGUGAAAGCCCAUCGCUCAACGAUGGAACGGCCAUUGAUACUGUUAGACUUGAAUUACAAGGAAGUAACUAGAAUAUGUAGUGUAGCGGUGAAAUGCUUAGAUAUUACAUGGAAUACCAAUUGCGAAGGCAGGUUACUACUUGUGGAUUGACGCUGAUGGACGAAAGCGUGGGGAGCGAACAGGAUUAGAAACCCCAGUAGUCC
rnacentral:rRNA from 1 species